GACACAGUUGAUCAGUUUUUCAGUGGUAAAAAUCAGUCGAUGGAAACCGAGCUGGAUAACCUGAAGAGGACGCUGCAGGCCAAAGAAAAAGAGCUGGAGACAUUUAAAUGGCUGAGAAAUUACCUCAUUAAUGAAAUCCCUGAGUCUUUUUCACAACUAAAGUUUGAGCUCGCCAUCAGCAGGGUGCAGAAGCUGGAGGACAAAGUAGAAGAACUACUUCAUGGUAAAGAUCAGUCAAAUGACAAAGACUUGCAGAUCCUGAAGUGGAAGCUUGAAGCCAAAGAAAAAGAAGCUGCAGCCCUGAAGCUCAGUGAUGAACACCAGACUGAGGAAGGAGAUGAGAAGAACCUGCAGACUCUGGAGAAUAACUCACCAAACCAUGUUGUGGAUGAAGAAGUAGCUGUAGCACAGCAGCAGCUGCAGGGUGAGGAGCAGCGCAGGGCGGAUGAUGAGUUGGAGAAAAAUGAGGAGAUGACACCUGACAUGCUUAAGAAAAAGCAGAAGACUUCAUCACUGAAGCUCGCCCUUGCUGUCACCAGGAUAAAUAAACUGGAGGACACAGUUGAUCAGUUUUUCAGUGGUAAAAAUCAGUCGAUGGAAACCGAGCUGGAUAACCUGAAGAGGACGCUGCAGGCCAAAGAAAAAGAGCUGGAGACAUUUAAAUGGCUGAGAAAUUACCUCAUUAAUGAAAUCCCUGAGUCUUUUUCACAACUAAAGUUUGAGCUCGCCAUCAGCAGGGUGCAGAAGCUGGAGGACAAAGUAGAAGAACUACUUCAUGGUAAAGAUCAGUCAAAUGACAAAGACUUGCAGAUCCUGAAGUGGAAGCUUGAAGCCAAAGAAAAAGAAGCUGCAGCCCUGAAGCUCAGUGAUGAACACCAGACUGAGGAAGGAGAUGAGAAGAACCUGCAGACACUGGAGAAUAACUCACCAAACCAUGUUGUGGAUGAGGAAGUAGCUGUAGCACAGCAGCAGCUGCAGGGUGAGGAGCAGCGCAGGGGGAACGAUGAGUUGGAUAAAACUGAGGUGAUGACACCUGACACGCUUAAAGAAAAGCAGGAGGCCUCUUCACAGCUGAACCUCGGCCUUGCUGUCACCACGAGGAACAAAAUCCAUCAGCCAUCAGCUGAUCACGAGGACACAAGUCAGACUAUUGAUGAGCUGAAGAAAACUCAAAAUCUGCUGGAGGAGAAGAAUACAGAGAUCAGGAUGAUGUGGAAACAGUUUAAAAACACACUCAAUGAAGAGAAGCAGCGAAAUAAGGAAGACCUGAAUUCCCUGAAGAAGGAGCUUGAGGCCCAAAACGAGAAGCUUGAAGACAAGGUAAGUGAAGUCCAGCAGCAGCUGAAGGAUGAACAGCAGAGCAGAGAGGAAGCUGAGAAGACUGUGCAGACUCUGAAGGAUGAAUUGGAGAAUAAAAACAAAGAGCUACAAGAGUCCAAGUGUCAGUUUGAGUCUCUCACAGAGGUGAGCCAAAAGUCUGAGAGACAGCUGAGUGAACUAAAAGAAAGAUACAAGGAGGAGUUCAAGAAGAAGAUUCGGGCCGAAAAGCAGAGGAGGAAGGAGGUUGAGGAAGAUGUAAAGUCCCUGAAACAGGAGCUGGAAAACAAGAUAAACCAGUUACAAAAAGCCAAAGAAGACCCCGAGGAGGCUGUGAAAGAAUGUGACAUCUCUGGAGAUGAACAUUUGGUGCCAACAGAACCAACUAACGCUCCGGACAAUUAAUAAAGUACAGUUACAAAUAAUGAUGUCACGGGCAAAAAAAACGUCCCCUGAAUUUUAUUUAACUGAUCUCUGUUUGAAUGCCUUACACACACACACACACACACACACACACACACACACACACACACACACAGUGAGCUUUAUAAAUAUUUGAUGUCAGUAAUUCAAUAUUUCUGUUACAUAAUUGUUUAUUGAAUCAAUUUCAGAAUUGUUAAAGGCUACAGUUUUUUCUUACUGUGAAUUUGUAUUAUUGGACAAUCUAUGCAGUAAUGUAAUACUGUGACAGCAGGAGGAUUUCAAUGCAGAUGUUUGUACUUUAAUUUCUGAUGUUUCACGUAUAUGUUUACUUAAAUGCCACUGGCCUUUAUCAUACUCACAUUUAGUUUUGUGCCUCAUUCACUAAUUAUUAUAUUAAUGUAACAGUCACAUAUGAAACUAUUCUGACUGUGUGACUCUGUAUUAUUAUUAUUAUUAAUAUUAUUAUUAUUGUUUUAUAGCUGAAAGAUUGGAUAUGUAUUUAAUAUUCUUUGUUAAGAUUAUUUUCUGUUCAGUUUGGACUAUUUACCUUUCAUUUUUAUAGCUCUUGAUAAGUAGGUUUCUUCUGCUGAAACUGUUAGAACAGAAAUGUACCUUAUCUUUGAAAGAGCAUUUGCACAUCGUUUGUCCUAAGGCCUGAUCCCUGUCUUUCAUACCAACUUUGUUUCCCUGGAAAAUUAUUUCUUGAAAAAAGUGUGUUUCCUAGUAAUAACCAGUUGAUGGUACAGUGCACACACAGUGCACCUGUUUGUCUGUUUACCACAAAUCUAUCUGAUUCUUUGCUCCCAAAUACAACUUCAGUUACCAAAUAAAACCAUGUUCUCUUCAGGCCAAGGUCACUGGUACAGUUCAAGCAGCAGUUGAACUGAUUGCUGUUCACUGUGGCACACUUUAGGCCUCACCUAGACCCCAGAUUUUAUCCUUGUGUGACAUGGUGGGCUGAAACACAUCUGUCCUUUGACAGAAGAAUGUCCCUGUUGUCAGGAUCUGAAAAAUGGAAACAUUUCACUAAAAAUCUUGAAAGUUAAAUUGUCUGAUGAGGGAACAUAGACAGUUGUGAAAAUAAAGUUUUAACAGAUCCCCAUUCAGUCCUUUGAAAAGUACAUCCUUAAUGUUUCCAUAGGAAAUUACAGAGUCACUAUCAUCCAGGUGCAGAAAACGGAUCAUCACAAAGUGUCACAACAUUUAUAAAAGUUGUUGUGUUAGUCGGUCUUUGGUCCAAUGCAGUUAUGGAGCAUUCGGCUAUGUGUUAAUAAAAUUAUACAAUUGUCCCCCGAGGAUAUGCAAGCAAACUCACUUAGGUCAGAUUGUGUAAAAUGACAUACAGUGGCUUGCAAAAGUA